rnacentral:rRNA from 1 species
UACGGAGGAUGCAAGCGUUAUCCGGAAUUAUUGGGCGUAAAGCGUCCGUAGGUGGCUUUACAAGUCAGCUGUUAAAGCGUGGAGCUUAACUCCAUAAAGGCAGUUGAAACUGUGAGGCUAGAGUGCGGUAGGGGUAAGGGGAAUUCCUAGUGUAGCGGUGAAAUGCGUAGAUAUUAGGAAGAACACCGGUGGCGAAAGCGCCUUGCUGGACCUGCACUGACACUGAGGGACGAAAGCCAGGGGAGCGAACGGG